UGUGAAUAUUUUUAAUGUUUUGUUUUGAAAUGAUGAAAUCAGUAUUUGAAAUUAUAUCUAGAGUUGGAACUAACUGACUUUAAUACACACAAAUAAUAUGCAAAACCAAGUGACGCAAAACUACUUUUUUAAUCUCUUAAUUUUAAAGAGCAGUUCUAAACAAGAACUUGCUUCCUCUGCAUAUCUGAAAUAAUUAACUAUUUAAUGCAGCUUGGAGCUCAAGGUGAAUUUUCAGAGUUCUGGGCUGUGGGUUAAUAUUUGCCAUCCAUCUCAAAAAUGUUUAGGUAUUUUUCAAAGACCAGUUUUUACUUCAGUGCCUGAGGAUGCCAUACAAUGGUAAAUAGUUUUCUUGGGAGCACACUUAAUGAAUAGAGAGGAACUUGUGGUUCAUCUUUCUGCACUGAUCAAUGACUAAGCAAUCAGCUGAUAUUUAGGGAAUUCAUAUAACUAGUAUUAGCUGUGUGGGUCUGGUUACAUUUAUAUUGAAUGUUAGUUUUAAUCAUAAAUUUACGUUUAAGCCUAUAAUUGCUGAUCUUGGGUACAAAAACCUACCUUAGUCUAGUCCCCAGCAGGUGGCUGUAUCCCAAAUUCAGCAGUACGUGUAAUUUCCAAAUGCAACACAGUGGUGUCUAUUGGCCCCUCAUGCUGUAUAUGAGGUUCAUCCAUAUACUGAACGUUGUAGCUACAGAAAAUCCAGAAAUGGUGAUUCUGCAAUUUCUUGGUCCAUCAUUUCUAGCCUUCUACAAACUUUUAUUUCUUUCUGUUUUGCUUAUGUUUGGAGCAAGUGGGGACAGAAAAAGAAGCUUCAGUCCUAAAAAGGACUUUGAAAAGCAGAUCGUGGAUCACUCUAGGGUGGGUCCAAAGUAAUGGAUACAAAAAUGUGGAUUUUGUGUUUUAAGUCAGGUGGAGAUUACCUUCAGAUUAGACCCUAGGGAUAGCUGUGUGCUAUAUUAUUCAAUGGAUAUUGUUCCUGAAAGGUGCUACUGACUGCUUUGUUCUGCUUAGAUGAGCAAAACAGUCAGAUCAGGAUUGAUGUUUAUGCACUAUGCAUUCAUUUUUGGCAUAAAUUCAGUUUAAUGUUUCCAUUGUAUAUGUCUUUUCUGCUCUUUUUGCAUUCUGUAAAGUGACUGCACAGAGACAAUAUUGUGUAAUUGAGAAAGAACAGUAAAUCCGUUGUUUGAUUUUGAUAGUUUCUGUCCAGAAAAAUUUUAGACUCGAAUUAAGCAUCUGAAUAGAAGUUAUAUUUUUCCUAUGUAGUUCUAUGUUUGAAAAGCUGGAAGUAAGCCAUAAUUUUCUGGAUUCACAGUGAACCACUUCAGAUCAAUAUUGCCCUGUCUGAAUAUAUGUUAUAUCUUGGCUGACUACACGACACGGUUUGGAAGUUAUCCUACAACUAGACUCAAGCACAGAUCCCCAUUUAUCAUGCUGAACAGUGCCAGCUCUCUCAGUCUUUUGGCACAGGUGAGAGGCUCCAGUGCCUUGGUCUCAUCUUGUUUGGUCUCAUACUGAAGAGCCUGGACCUGGUUGCAGCACUCCAAGAGAGGCCUCACCAAUUAACAGAGGGCCAUAUUUCAUUGUGGAAGUUCAACAAGUUGAUAAAGGAUGAUUUUCUCUUAGUGUAGUCCUGACACUCCUGAAGAUUUUCUUGUCUUUGAUGGACCUGGAAAUGGUUUUCAGGUAAUUCCAGGUAAUUUCAGGUAAUUUCCAGGUAAUAUUCCUAGUUGCCACAAUUGAUAAAAAAACAGAGUGGUCUUCAAGCUAUUGAGUUUCAGAUAAGAUGCUAUCUCCCUUUCUUUGGUGAAAACCUUGCCACAGGAAUUCCAUAAGCUUCAUAAGAAACUAAAAGUUCUGCCAAAGCCCCAGUGAUCUAGAUGCUGCAAGUUAUAAUACUAAUUACUGCUUUCAUUUUGCCACUUUCAGGUCCCUAAUACAGUACAAAGUGACAGAAAUGAGGUUGCAUAGGCUGACUUUACAAAUUCUCCUUAAGUUCUGAAAAGCAGUCACCACUCGGCUGCAGAGGGUCCACCAUGGAGCACAGUGGAGAUCCUGCACAUACCAUAGAAACUGCUCUCAAAGCAUGUUUUGAAAACUUGCUUUUGACACAGGGGAACUUUCAAAAUUUCAGGCAGACAAAUUGUUAAAUAGCUCAAGAGAAUGACUGGAAAACAAGCAUGAUAUCAAAAUACUAAGGAAGGUACAGGAUAGCCCUUUUUAGAAAAAUUACUUUAAAAAAAGAGAAGACAGUGGUACAGAAGGAAGCUAAUUCUGAGCUGUCUAGAAAAUGAUAUUAAAAAGUCCAUGUUAAAGGAAUGAUUUAAAAGCUGUGUUGAAGGGAUAAAAAAAGGGUGAUAUAUUCUAAUGCAACUGAUGGAAAAAUGAAGCCUACAUGCUAACGCCAUUUGAAGAGAAAGGAAUGUGUUUUGAAGAUGUAUGUCAGAAGCUCAAAGGGCUAGUGCAAGUACAGUAGGGCCUUAGCCUCCUUGUUUGAUAAGAGCUUCCUUUUAUAUAGAUAGCUUUUCCUUCAGAAUACAUAUGCCCUAUUGCUUCUCCUUAUUCUUGUCUCUGACUUUUGAUUGAAUGUGCCACAGUAUGUUGAAAAUGCUGUUGAUCAAUGGCAAUUUUAAAGUAAAAAUAAAAUAUACGAUUCCCAUGCAAGUCACAGACAUCAUAAGCCAGUAAGUGCUGUAAAAUCUUUAUGGCUAAGUCCCUUUUCAUUAAAAUAGUUGAGAAUAUUUCCUGCAAAGUGAAGAUAUUUGAAAUUGUGUUUAAAGUUUUAGUGAUCCUGAUAGAAAAACCUCCAUGAGAAAUGAUUACUUACUUCCCAUGUUCUGCAAUCAUUGUACUAAGAUAUACCUAAAUGUCAGAUAAAGUAUUUUCAUAAAUUAUAUAUACAACUACAUAUUUGCCUUAGAUAUUGCCUUUUAAAAUUCUGGUAAUUAUUCGCUAUUUACUGGACAAAAUCAUAUCUCUUUGAGUAGAUGUUCGAAGCUGGUAGGCAGGGGUUUUCCCUGGUUUCAGUUAAAAAUGAAAUCAAGAUAUGCUUUCAUGCUUUUUUCAUAGUUUUUUGUGUAUGUUACCACAAAAUAUUUUUAAAGCUUAAGCAUGAGAAACAUAUUUUUUUCACCAUUAUCACGCAUUAUAUUAUAUUGUUUUGUUGAGUUGUAUUUUUUGCCAUUCUAAUUCUUCUAUAUUCCUGAAGAUAUAUAACCCUAUUAAAAAUAUUAUGUACUACUCAUAGAAGUAAAAUAAAUCCUUUUCAAAGUAUAGACCCACUUUCACAUGUGAAACUUAAUAAUAGAACACACUAAUUUGUCAAGCUUUCAAAAGACAUGUUGAUUAAAUAUUUUUAACAGGUUAAAUAAACAAAAGCUAUUGUUAGAUGUAAAAUGUGGAUUUUUCAGCUGGCUAUUCAUCUUAGCCCAGUAAAUGCCUAUACCUCUUUCACAGUAUAAACCUUCUCUUUUUCUUCAUUUUGUUGCAUGUGCAUUUAAAAUCUCAAGACUUCUUUUACAUUAUGUAAUGAAAUACAAUGGAGGCCAAUAAAUAUGACUUGUAAUUGCCACUGAUUAAGAUCAAGAAUGUGGUCUACUGUCUCAGUUUCUAGGCAGUAGUUUGUUAAGCCAUGGAAAUACAACCACAUUGUCAUGUGAUCAUGCCCAUAUUUCAAAAAAAUAUACAACAAAAUUUCUAUACUAAGUAGAGAAAACCUUCCCUGAGGAAACCCUGCAUUUGUAGGGUUGUUUAAUUUAAUACUUUAAAGAUCACUGUUGAAUAAUUAUUAACAAAUUUUAAAAAAUAUGUUCUGUCCUUCUGGCAUGUGGAAAUUUCAUUUAUUACACAUUCACCAUCACAGAGAAGCAUUUGAAUUUUGCUUUAAUGAAACUGAGCUGUUUCCUUACCACUUAAAGCUUGCUACAGAUGAAUGUGCUUUCAUUAAAAGUCUUUAUGAUCAAAUCUGCUUAAGUCUGUUUCUCUGAUUCUCCAUCUUUUUGCAUGAAAGUUGAUGACAGAUGAGUAGCU